rnacentral:rRNA from 1 species
CAGUCGCCGCGGUAAUACGAAGGGGGCUAGCGUUGUUCGGAAUUACUGGGCGUAAAGCGCACGUAGGCGGACUGGAAAGUCAGAGGUGAAAUCCCAGGGCUCAACCUUGGAACUGCCUUUGAGACUAUCAGUCUGGAGUUCGAGAGAGGUGAGUGGAAUUCCGAGUGUAGAGGUGAAAUUCGUAGAUAUUCGGAGGAACACCAGUGGCGAAGGCGGCUCACUGGCUCGAUACUGACGCUGAGGUGCGAAAGCGUGGGGAGCAAACAGGAUUAGAUACCCGGGUAGUCCCUGUCUCUUAUAC